CUAAUUCAAUUCCAACCAAAAACUAAGCUGCACCCUUAUCUUUCUCUCUCUAUCCUUUCUCUCUCUACCUCUCCCUUCUCUCUAAAGGUAUAACCGCCGCUCUACUCUAGCAGACGGUUGUCGCUGCCGCUCCAUCACCCCCUACUCCUUCCUUCUCUCUUCCCUCUCCUUUCUUCCUUGAUACCUCACCCUUUCCCUGUGAAACCACGCCGGAAAAAUCCCUCAAGCCUUUUUCACCAGCGAUGAAAAGUCAUCGGUGAGCCGACCUCUACCACCAUAGACCAGAUUUAGACUCACCAGUCAGCAACCAGCUAUGCUGCUGCCCCGUUCUUCGUAUCCCAAUCAGCACAAGCCCACUAAACGCUGCUCCGGUGCCUCCUUCAAUAGCUCCAGCCGGCGAAACCCCUACAACCGCCAUGCAAUGCUGUCGACCACUGACCAGAUCACCUCCAGCAGCCGCAAACCAAUAAUGUCUAAAUAAACAAUUAUGGGGUUUUGAAGAGUCGCCAGGGUGUUUACAUUAGAUUGAAGUAGUUCUAUUUAGUUUUAGUUUCUUAUAAUUUGGUUUGUACAAUUAUUGUAUAAACAUUACUAUUAUUGUAAUAAUAAUUUUGGGGAUUGCUCGGGGAGCGGGGA